AGCGAACGCUGGCGGCAGGCUUAACACAUGCAAGUCGAGCGCCCCGCAAGGGGAGCGGCAGACGGGAGGGUAACACGUGGGAACAUACCUUUUGGUUCGGAACAACUGAGGGAAACUUCAGCUAAUACCGGAUAAGCCCUUACGGGGAAAGAUUUAUCGCCGAAAGAUUGGCCCGCGUCUGAUUAGCUAGUUGGUGAGGUAACGGCUCACCAAGGCGACGAUCAGUAGCUGGUCUGAGAGGAUGAUCAGCCUCACUGGGACUGAGACACGGCCCAGACUCCUACGGGAGGCAGCAGUGGGGAAUAUUGGACAAUGGGGGCAACCCUGAUCCAGCCAUGCCGCGUGAGUGAUGAAGGCCUUAGGGUUGUAAAGCUCUUUUGCCCGGGAAGAUAAUGACGGUACCGGGAGAAUAAGCCCCGGCUAACUUCGUG
rnacentral:rRNA from 1 species